rnacentral:rRNA from 1 species
GGUCAAGCUACAAAGGGCUCACGGUGGAUACCUUGGCACACAGAGGCGAUGAAGGACGUGGUUACCUGCGAUAAGUCUCGGGGAGCUGGAAGCACGCUUUGAUCCGGGAAUUUCCGAAUGGGGCAACCCCUAGUACGGUCAG